rnacentral:rRNA from 1 species
AUUGAACGCUGGCGGCAGGCCUAACACAUGCAAGUCGAGCGGAGCGGCGGAAGGGUGAGUAAUGACUAGGAAUCUGCCUGGUAGUGGGGGAUAACGUCCGGAAACGGGCGCUAAUACCACAUACUUUAAGAUGAGCCUAGGUGGGAUUAGCUGUUUGGUGGGGUAAAGGCUUACCAGGGCGACGACGCGUAACUGGGCUGAGGGGAUGAUCAGUCACACUGGAACUGGGACACGGUCCAGACUCCUACGGGAGGCAGCAGUGGGGAAUCUUGGACAAUGGGCGAAAGCCUGAUCCAGCCAUGCCGCGUGUGUGAAGAAGGUCUUCGGAUUGUAAAGCACUUUAAGUUGGGAGGCGUUACCAACAGAAUAAGCACCGGCUAACUUCGUGCCAGCAGCCGCGGUAAUUC